AUUGAACGCUGGCGGCAGGCCUAACACAUGCAAGUCGAGCGGAUGAAGGGAGCUUGCUCCUGGAUUCAGCGGCGGACGGGUGAGUAAUGCCUAGGAAUCUGCCUGGCAGUGGGGGAUAACGUCCGCAAACGGGCGCUAAUACCGCAUACGUCCUGAGGGAGAAAGUUGGUGAUCUUCGGACCUCACGCUAUCAGAUGAGCCUAGGUCGGAUUAGCUAGUUGGUGGGGUAAAGGCCUACCGAGGCGACGAUCCGUAACUGGUCUGAGAGAAUGAUCAGUCACACUGGAACUGGGACACGGUCCAGACUCCUAAGGGAGGCAGCAGUGGGGAAUAUUAGACAGUGGGCGAAAGCAUGAUCCAGCCAUGGCGCGUGUGUGAAGAAGGUCUUCGGAUUGUAAAGCACUUUAAGUUGGGAGGAAGGGCAGUAAGUUAAUACCUUGCUGUUUUGACGUUACCAACAGAAUAAGCACCGGCUAACUUCGUG
rnacentral:rRNA from 1 species